rnacentral:lncRNA from 10 species
AUGAGAGUGGGCUGAAAGUGGUGAGAGCCCAGAGAUUGUUUUGUGUUGGGCUUGGGUGGUUUGUUUUGAUUUUAAAGUGCUGUGGCCUGGUUAGGGGAGAACGCAUCCUCCUUGGUUAUGCAUGAGCCAGAACCAGCCUCAGCUCGGACAAUUCCACUGGAAGUUUGUGUGUGAGUUGUGAUCCUGAGAGACGGAAGACUGCAUUUGAUUUGCAAGUUUGGAUACAGACUGAAAAUGACUAAGGAGCUUGAUGAGUCCAGAGCAGAACAAGGCUGGAGUGCAAUGGCACCAUCUCGGCUCACCACAACCUCUGCCUCCCAGGUUCAAGUGAUUCUCCUGCCUCAGCCUCCCGAGUAGCUGGGAUUACAGCUGAACUGUUACAACUAUUGACACUCUUCAAAAGGUUCCGCUCUGAACCCUGUCCAGGCACUGCAGGCUCCAAUGGACAUCUUCAAAUCCAGAGAAUGGAGGGGCAAGAGCUUCCCCUGUGUGAUGCCAAAACCAACAAAGCCCCAUGGAUCAGGUAAUGAAAC